rnacentral:lncRNA from 1 species
CACACAAUUGAACUAUAAUGUUGCGUAUACAAUUUCAUUACCGUUGGUGUUGACACCACCCAAAUCAUUGUCGUUACAACCACAAUUAUAAUUUGAUAUGUUGCAUGUACAAUUUCACCUUCAUCAGCGCCAUCCCAAGUCGACCACCACUUCAAAUCCACAAUCACGAUCACAUCCUUCAAAAUCCACCACCACCAUCGUUUGCACCUUCAACACGCUACGAAUUCAUAGCCAAUAAAGAAAAGGUUGGCACAGAAAUAAAAGAAUAGAAGCACAUAAUCAAAAGCAAAUUUUGGUCUGAUUGAUGGAAUAGUGGCGACACCAUGGGUGUAGGUUUGCCCGCCCUAUCAAUAAUGCCUGAAUUCGAAAUUUCUGAGAUUCACAAUUCACGAAUUCGAAUUUUUUCUCAUAGAUUUUGUGCCCCACAUGGUGUUAUGAAACCAAUCGAAGUUGGAAUCAUGUUUGGGAGGUGAUUUCACCAAUUGUCGGUAGUGGGAAGUGGCGACGACGAUGACUGUCGGCAUUCAUGGUAUUGUUCUGAGAAACCCUCCCUCGUACACCAAACAAAAUCCAUUUUGAAGAAAUAAGCAUGUGUACAGGGGGUUCUGUGAUUCCCUCCGAAUUCUCACAUGGGUGGGCCCCAUAUGAGUAAAAUAUUCCCAAUUAAAAAAAGAAAAUCCACCCACCCCUUAUUAUGUGUGUUUUGGAAUAGCUUUGUAAAUCCCUCCCUUGUACACCAAGCAAAAUCCAUUUUAAGAGAAAUUGUUAUAAAGAGAAUAAUGGGUAUGGAUGGGUGAAAUUAGAGGGGGAAAUGAUAAUUAUCUUUAUUUAGUUUCUGUUGAUAUAAAUUUAUUAAUAUUAAAACGUGAAUAACACCUGUUUUAUGAAAAUAGACAAGUCCUUGUUUGAUGGUCAAUAUUUGAAAAAAAUAAUAUAUUUUUUGAAUAAUGAAUUUUUGAAGAAUGCGUUGUUAAAAAAUUGAGAAAAAGUAUUUGAUUUAUGUGCAAAAUAUUUUAUUACGUGAAAGUAUGGUUAACAAUGAAUACGUAAAAAAGAAUUUUAAAGGCCAUCAAACAUGGACUAUUUAAGAUCAGAUUUUUGAAAAAUAUAGUUAAAAUGUAGAAUUUUUCUUUAAUUUUCCCAACUGGUAAACCAUGUUUUUGAUUGGCUAUAAUACGGGCAAGCUGAAAGGUGAUCCUAUUUACAUUUUUUUAAUUUUAUUUUAAGUUAAAUAAACUAAUUAAGUAAUAAAGAAUUGUUAUUAAUAAUCAUAAAAUAAUUCAAAUAAUAUUAAAGCCUAUUUCGUGUUAUUAAAAUUGAUGAAAUAUAUGGUUAAAAAAUUGUAAAUCUCAUAUAAAAUAUGUGAUUAUUAUACUUUGACCCAUUUUUGGACUUUCCAAUGUUUGGCUGCUUUGGCAUUAUCAUUUUAUCAUGCCUUAUUACUUUUCAGUUUAGCUUGGUGUAUGUAAUAGUUGACAAUUUUUUUUUAUUUUUUAAAUUGUGUGAUAUAAUGCAUAGUUUCGCCAUUGACUUUAAGACUUCAAACGAUCAAUGAUCUUUAUUUUUACAUUACACACAAUGUCAAUCAUAAUGUAUACAAAGAAUGUAAAAUUUUGUGUUUAAUUAAGCCCCUGUUUGACAUUCUUAAAAUUUAAAAAAUAAUGUUUUGAAUGGUAGUUUUGAAGAAUGUGUGGUUAAAAAGUAGGAAAAACUUUUGAAUUAUGUGUAGAAAAUUUUAUGUGUAAAUAUAUUAUUGCAAAUGAGUAUAAAAAAAAUACAUUAAAGUACAAUAAUGUCAAAUUGGGUUUAAGAUGAUGGUCAUUCUGACGAUCAAAUUAAAAUUGUUUAGCUAAGUAGAACAUAGUCAGUGAGAUUUGCUAUUUGUACACCGAGCUUUGACAUCUCGGUGUACAAUCCCCUCACAAUAGGAGGUCGUGUCCAAAAAAAUAAAAAUCACAAACCUCCUAUUCUGAAGGAGGCUAUAUACCAAGUUGUCAAACUUGAUGUACUUAUAGCAAAAUUCUACAUGGAUAGGAGGCAAAUGAAUUGUGAAAUAAAUUAAGUUGAUUGAAAAUUGUUGACAAAAGUCUUGACAUAAUCUUAUAUACUUGUGGAAUUCAUGUGAAUAAAAAAUUUCAAAAAAAUGACUCCACCUCCUAUUGUAAGUGUUCGAAUAGGAAGGCUAUCAAUCCCUUGCAGUCAGUGUAGCAAAGUUGAACCGAAAUGUAGAAUGGUGGGACAGAGAGGUAGCUCCAAUUGGUUAGAAGUACACGUGUACGGAAAAAUUACUUCUAGAGUUAAAAGAGUUAACUAUGAAUUCAAGUGCAAGAAGUCCGUGCAAAUAAGAUGCGUGUAAAUGACUUCAGGUUAGCCCCUUCCAGAAACACCAGCGCUACAUGACAUGUAUUUCUAUCCAUUAAAAAAAUUAAAAAAUCAUUAAGGAACCAAACUAACCAGUCAAACACGAUAUAGCAGUUUCACAAACGCGCCGCCCUAAAACUGGAGGCCAAUUGGCCACUAACCGCCAAACCGACACGGUUUCUACUCGACGAUUCCCCCUGAUUUCUCAGCUCAUUGUUUUUCUAAAACUAUAUAUACCUACAAUCAAACUUCAAUUCAGCCGUAUCUCAGACAAUCUUAUCCACUUUCAGUAUAGAAUCUACUAUCAGCCGUAUCUCAGACUAUCUUAUCCACUUUCAGUAUAGAAUAUACUAUCAACCAUAUCUCAGACAUAGUAACACGAAUAUAUAUAUAUAUACACGAGAGAUAUUUCAAUAAUUGGUGGUGGUGGUGGUGGUGUUGUAUAUUUUCAAUUAUCAAUUUGACAUGAAAGUUAAGAAAGGAGAAACAGCAGUACCUUCUCUGACGAGGUCGUAUAGCUCACCGGGAAAUGGAGUAGAAAAUCCCCAAUCUUCUCCGAAGUCAGCCUUCCAGCGAUUGCGCCAGAAAUUAUCGCCGAGGAAGACCGCAUCCGUGGAUCUGAAACCAUCAAUUUCAAGUUCCGAUGAUAAAAACGGUGAGGCUCCGGAGGUGGAUAAAUGGAGCGAAAAUGAGAUGGUGUUUAGGUACUUCGACGAAAACGGCGAUGGUAAAAUCUCAAAAGAAGAGCUACGGCGGUGCGUGAGGGCUUUAGGUGGCGAAAUAUCGGAGGACGAGGCGGAGAUGGUGGUGCAGUUUUCGGACUCAGACAGCGAUGGAAUGUUAGGGCUAGAGGACUUCACAAAGCUAGUGGAGGGCGGCGGCGAGGACGAGAGAAAGGACGAAUUGAAGGACGCAUUCAAAAUGUACGCAAUGGAAAAUAGUGAAUUCAUAACGCCUAAAAGCUUGAAGAAAAUGCUGAAUCGGCUGGGGAAUUCGACCUCCAUGGAUCAUUGCGCAAGCAUGAUAAGCAGAUUCGACAUUAAUGGAGACGGCGUCCUUAGCUUCGAUGAAUUCAGAGAAAUGAUGCGAUAAAUGAUUCAAAAUUUUGAAACAAACAUUUAUGCUCAAGAAUUAUCCAAUUUGGAAGCCCUCUCUCCCCGAGGCAAUUUUUAAAAUGGCUGGAUAAUUGAUUCAAUUUUUCACAAUAGCCUUUUCUGUUGGAAGUACUAUUUUACUCUUACUAUAAUUAUUUGCAAGUUGUAUCUUAUAUUUUUAAGGAUUUAUUAAUCAGGACCUAUAUCUAUAUUCUUCAAUCUUUCAAACACCUUUAAAUAUUCUUUGUAUUUUAGUAAUUCUUCAAAUAUCCUAGGCUGACAUUUCUUGGUUAUAUAUCCUCGAACUAAUCUUUCUGAAAUUUUUUCUUGUAUAUCUCUAUGUUUAGUUAUAAUAUCCUCUAUCUUUCUUAUCUCUUUACUAGUUCCUACAGAAUCAAAUCCUAUAUUAUUUUUACAAUUAUAAUCUAUAUCUCUAUAUAUUUCUUCAAUUUUUUCUUUGCCAACAGAAAAUAUAUUUUCAGACUUUUCAGCUAAUUUAAAUAAAAAUGAAACAUAUUUUUUAUCUAAAAAUAAUAUGAGAUUAUUAUCAUUAUUAGAAAUAGAUAUGGAUGCUUGUGAAUUGUUCAUCAGAAUAAUUUAGGCAUAAGCAUGUAAGAAUAAGUAAAUAACUUACAGUAAUCAAAUGGAAGUAAACAUGCUUUUCCUCCAAUAUGCUUUUAUAGAUGUUUUGCAUGUACUUAAUCAAUCUUCUGAAUCAAGUAAAGAUUAAAAUGUUUUUUGAAAUCAUUUGGAUCCACAACUGCUUUCGCAAAAGGUUUUUCAAUUAAGGUUGCAUUUCUCACUCUAGAUAACUAACCGUGUUUCCACAGACGCUAUCUUACAGUAUUCAGAGUCUCUGCUUUCACCUCUAUCCAAAUUCUUUUCAGAAUCAAGUUCCUAAUUGGAAUGAAAUUUUAAAAGAUAACUCUCACACAAGGUGCUACAAUUUUGUUAGAAAAUUGCCUUUUUCCCCUAAACCAUUCUUCAAAGACGGGUACUUUGACAUGGCUGACAUCCAUUCAAAAUCAAUGUUUUGAAGUCCUUUAAAAUCUCUAUUUGUACUGUCAAGGAAUCAUGAGAAAUUUAACGAAAUCCUUUUAUGAAAACUUUGUUGAACAUAACAAAUUUUAUUUUGAUAUUCAUAAAUUGAAAUUGUACAUGCUUACAAACUAUAUUUACAUACCUUUGGUACUCACCUUAUGAAGUUUAGAACUCCAUAAGUGAUUACCUUAUUACACGCUUUACUAUCUUCAAGCUAUCUAAUAUUUUUUUGAAUACAAGUGGUGUAUACAGAUUACAAAAGAUAUAUCUCUAAGAUACGUUUCUUUAGAGUGUUUUAGAGAUAAGUUGUUUCAAGAUAUCUUCCUUCUUCCUCCUUGCCUCCUUUUAUAAAAGCCUUUGGGAAUCUUAUCUUGACAGGUGUUUUUCACCUUUCUUUGUUGGGUAGUUAGGCCAUCUUAUCUCCACCGAAUUCUUCAUUAUCUUCUUGCUAGGUGGACCUCUUCAUUUGAAAUUAUAUGCAUUAUCUUUUGAGUUUGUCUGCCACUUGUGAUAGUUGGUGGGGAGUAGUCACAAUUAUGGAGACUUUUCUUGUACUAUCUUCUGUCUUUUAGUAGCCACGAUUUUUCUUUAAUAAAGUUCUUUAUUAAAGUAGUGAUAAAGGGCUACUUUUGUCACCAUCACUUUUCCAUUUUUGAAUCAAAGAAUUCUACAGGGAAUUCUUCAUCAUUAAGGGAUGAUUGACUCAUAUCUUCAACUAUACAGUAUUCACAAUGGUGAUCACUGUAAUUCCAAAGUAAUUUGCAUAAUUCUUUAGCCAUAUCUUCUGAUCCAUGCACUUGGUUGGAAAUAAUUACAGAUAAUAAAUGGUCGAGAUAACAAAUAUUUUCUUCUUUGGUGGCCAUCCUUGCAUUGGAGUAGAUAAUAUGAUAUUCAGAUGGAUAUACUCAUAUUUUUUCUUUCUCAAUAAUUAUCUGGGUUACAUGUUCAAAUAUUUCUUUGUACCAUUUUGCUCUUCUGUAGGGCAUCAUGUUUAAAAUAUCUUGAUAUUCAUUUUUAACAACCUUUUGAUUGGCUCUGUGAAGAGCUACUUGCUCUUUUGAUAUCUUGAAUAUCUUUAUUACCAGUAAUAGGUUCAAGUUUUCCCUGUGAAGGGGUUCCUAUUACCUUCUUUUCUUUCCCUUUAUUCUCGGGGAGAGUACUAGUAUUCAUAAGUCCCUGCAAAGGGAUAUUAGAUUUGGUACAAGUAACUUUUGCCUUAAGGGCUAUAUUUUUGCCUCGAAAGCUAUCUUGGAUAUUUUGAAUUUGUGUUUCCAGAUAGAAAACUUUUAUCUCAAGUAUUUGAACUUUCACCCUUAAUUGUUCUAGCUCCAUCCCUGCUAAGAUAAUUAGGAAGAAAGUUAGUUUUACCUUUUAUAUAUUCAAUAUCAAAUUUGAAAUAUGAAAACCAAAUUUGUAUCUUAAUAAUAUAUCUAUUGGCAAUAGAUGGAUCAACAUUAUUUUUCAAAAAUGCUUUAACUUGAGUAUUAUCAGUUUUAAUCAAGAACUUCUUUGGUAAUAGAUAAUCUUCAUAUUUCUGAACUCCUCUUUUACAGCAAUGAGUUCUUUCCUGUUCGUCUCAUAUUUUGUUUCAACUUCUUUAAAUGUUCCUGAUAUAAAACCUGCAAGUAUCUCAGGACAAGAACAAUCUUUUUCACAUUUAUAUUCUUUAUGAUUUUUUUUCACCUUUAACACUGCUCCCAGUAAUAAUCUGAAGCAUCAGUUUCAAGGAUAAAGAAAUCUUCUUCUUGUGGUAUUACAAGUUUGGGCAAUACCUUUAACUCUUCUUUUACUUUCCUUAUAUUUUCACAAUCUUAUUUUUCCCAAGACCACAUAAUAUUUUUCCUUAAUUUUGGAAGAAAAUAAUUUUUUAAUUUGGCACAAUUCUCAAUGAAUCUUUCAGCAUAAUUUAAUAUACCAAGAAAGCUUUGUAAUUGUUUUUUAUCUUUAAUUUCUUCAGAAAAUUCUUGAAGUUUUUCUCCAAUAUGGGAUUGCAAUUGCAAUUUUCCUUCUUUUAUAAAUAAUCCCAAAAAUUCUAUUUCUAUUCUAGCUAUCUCAACUUUCUUUUGAGAAAGUGUAAUACCAUGUUUUUCAUAAUAUAACAAAAUUUCUCAAGAUAUUCAAUAUGUUCAUCAAUAUUAUUUGAAUGAAUAAGUAAAUCAUCUACAUAUGCAACACAGAAAUGAGUAAUUGGUUUGAUUACCUCAUCCAUUCUUUUUUGGAAUAUUUGUGGUGCAUUUUUCAACUCAAAUGGCAUUACAUUCCAUUCGAAUUGUCCUAAAGGAUUGGGGAUACUAAAUGCAGUUAGUGGUUUACUUUUUUCUGUAAGCAUGAUUUGUCAAAACCCUGACUUACAAUCAAAUUUUGAAAAUAUUUUUUUGUUAUGUACUUGUUUAAUAAGGGUGUCCUUAUUUGGCAAGUAGUAUCCAUCAAAUUUAGUAACUUCAUUUAAUUUUUUGUAAUUUAUCACAAUUCUGGCUUUUCCUAUUUUUUAUCUCACUAAGUUUUCUAACCAUAAAGGCUGGGCUGCUAUGUGGACUUUUACUAGGCCUAAUUAUCUUGGCUUUUAGCAAUUUUUUUAUCUGGUCUUUAAAUUUCUUUUGAUCAUCAACACUAUAUUUCAUGGGUUUGACUCUAACAAUAGUGUCUGGAUUGGUUAAUUCUAUUUUUGUCUUUACUUUGUCUGUAUUCCAUUUUUCUAAUGGAUUUUCAGAAUAUGUUUCAGAAAUUUCUUUUUUCAGUUUUUCAAUCCUAUUUUCUGUUGUUAUUUUUAAGACUGUAACUGGUUUAAAUUUUUCUGUACUCCAACAUCCACCACGCUGGGUUGAGGAACUCUGAUAAUUUAUAUCUGUAUAUACUAUUGUAACAGCUUUCUUUAUUUUUUGUGUAAAUAUUUUAUGUGCACAAGGUGUUGUGAACAUAUACUUAUCAAUAUAUUGUGUAAAUGGUGCAUAUUUUAAUAGAAAAUUUUGUCCUAAUAAAAUAUCACAUCCAAUUGUGGUUGACAUGUAUAUUGUAUCAACAAAUACUUCUCUAAAGAAAAUUAGAAAAGGUACUUGCGUAGCAUAUUUGCUGUAUAUUACCUUAUUUUCACCUACUGUUGUAGCGAUGACUAUCUUCUUUGAAUUGUAUAUCCAGUAUUCAGAUGGUAGUACAUUUGGUAAGCAUAAGCUUAUUGUACUUCCUGUAUCUAAGUAUGCAUAAAAUUUAAUUCUACAAUAGCUUUUUAUAUUAAGUGUAAUUUCAAUAUAUGGACUCAUGGGAUUAGUACUUAUUACUCUUUCCAUGAUAACAAUGAUUUCAUAUUUUCAUCUAUUCUUGAUAUGAUGAUUGGGUUAUCAUCAACUGUUAUCUUUAAAUAUCCUUGGCAGAUUUUAUAAGGACUAUAUUUAUCAAGAAAGUUCAUUCCUAAUAGAAUAGGUGAACGAUCUACUCCAUAUAAUUCAUCUUUAUAUAAAAUUAUUUCUUUAGUAUAUUCUUUCUGAUCCUCUCCUAUAAGUAUAAGAGGGAACUUAACAUAUUUUCUUAUUUCAAGAUUAUUUCCUAAAUAAUCCUUUACUUUAUAUUGUUCUGGCAUUUCAAAGUCUAUUAAAUUACUAACAAAUUUAGCAUUUAUAUGACUUUUAUCUGCUCUAGUAUCUAUGAGGACAAGAAGAUUCUUCUUAUAUCCUUCUUGAUUUAUAUAUCUUGCCUUAAUGUAAUAUUGCGAACUUGAUGGUUCAGCAAUACUUAAAUUCUUAAGUCUGCUUAUCCUAGAGUUUUGUCUAGAGGGAAAUCUUGCAAUAAGAUUAUCUCCUUCUAAGCUGACACUAUUUAUUCUUAUUAAUUUUCUUUCGGAAUUAAUUUCUUUAGUUUGUUUAUGAAAAUCAAGCAUUAUUUGUUUUGGUAUAGUGACUUCAUGUUCUUGGUAUUUCCUAGGAGGUAUAUAUUGUGCUAAUUUCUCAAAAUCUUUAUGUAUGAUAAUGUUAUCAGUUAUCUUUCUUAGAUUGUUAUGAUGGCUAGUACUAAAAGCAAAAAUUGAUUUUGUGCUUAUACUAAUAGCUUUACUUCUUCGUAACAUUUUUAAGUUUCCAAUUCUAUAGUAUAGAUUGAAACUUUGGUCAAUAUUUUCAUCAUUUAAUGAUAUUGCAUAAAUUGAUUUUACUGUAAAUAUUAUCUUUUGAUAGACUAAGUUUCCUACAACUGUUCCUAAUAGAGCAUUUAUAGGAUCUUGUAAGAUUCUAUUGUUCAUACAAUAUAUUUCUAUUGGUAUGUUCAUACCUUCUCUAAAGAAUCAUUUUACCAUUAUCUGGACUCCUUCUAUUUCAAUACAUUUUAAUUUGUUUCUUACAUUUUCUGGGAUUUUGGAUAACUUUUGUUUUACCCAUUCUUUUGUAAUUAUAGGAAUUCUUGUUUUUCCUAUAGUAUCUUCUAUAUUGAUAGACAUUUCUUUAUAAUUCAUACUUAAAAUUUUUUUAUUUACUCUUGGUAAAAUUUCUAAGAAUCCUUGAUGAAAUACAUCUUUUUCUUGUAGGUCUAAUAUCUUCUUAGUGAUUCCUGUUUAUUUUUUUAAUAUCAAAGGUAAUUUCUUGAUUUAUACCUUCUAUAGAGUCUUCAACUUCUUCAAUUGUUUCUAUUUCUAUUUCUACUUCUGAUUGUUGUGUCUCUUGAUUCAUAUAUAGUAUCUCCUUAUAAUCUUCUUCUGAUGAUGAUGUAUUUAAUUCAUAAAUGCUACUGCAUUCACUAAUUAGAUCUUCAAAAUAUUCAAUUGGUUCUAUGUCACUAUCUUCUUUAAAUUUUUCAUAAAUUCUAAGAGUUUUAUAUUUUGUCUAUCUUUCUUUUUAGGACAUUGAGGGGCAAUGUAUCAUUUUUCAUUACAAAUAAAACAUCUACAUUUUUUAAUAUUUCUUGGUUUAAAUUUCUUAUUCCAAUUUUUUUUCUUGAAAUAUUUUUUGUGUGGUUUAAAAUUUCUUUUCUUGAAUUUUUUAUAAUUUUUGAAUUUUCUUUUAUAUUUCUUAUACGGUUUAUAUUUCUUCUUAUGGCAUCCAAAUUUUUCAACUUAGCCAAUAUCUUUGUAACAACAUAAUGAAUUUUUUCUUAUUUUAUAUGCAUUUUUAUUUUCUAAAACUUUCCUGCACCACAUACCUAUCAUUAUUUUUGUAAAUUCAAUCCUACUUCCAAGACUAUCUAUUUUUAUUCCUUCCUCUUCUCCUAGAGGUAAUAAUUUUUCAUAUUCUUUUAAUAACUUAAUUCCCGAUGGGAAUGGUAACUUCGUAAAAUAAGAUCUUAAUAUAUGUUUAUUUUCUUGAUAAUCUCAUUAGUUUAAUAUAUAGUAUAUUUCUUCAAAUUUACUAGUAUACCUUUCUAAUUCACACAUAUCACAUAUCUUUAAGUUUUUCAUUGCUAUCAUUCCUUGAUUAUAUUCAUCUUGUUUUCUUUUUUCAUCAUUAGAAGUAUACUUAUCUCCUAAGAAUUCUGUUCUUAAGAUUUUUUCAAAUUUUUUUAAUAUCUUCUGUAUAUUUUGUUCAUUUAAAGUAUUCCUAUUAUUUAAUACCUCAGUUCUACCUGCUCCAUACUUUAUCCUUCCUUUAAUAGUUUCUGAUAAUUUUCUCCACCAUUCAGAAACAAUUCCUUUGAAUGUAUGUUCGAUAAAUUCAAAAGCUGUAUAUGUUUCCCAUUUAUUAAAUUGUAUUGCUAAAUCUGUGCUUUUGAUCCAUGUUUCAAUAGCUUUAUUUUUAUCUACAAAGUCUAGAUCCAACCAUACCCCUGUUGUGUGGAUUGGUUCAUUAUAAGAUUUCAUUAGGUUUAUUUCUUUUAUGGACUGUUUUCUUACAUUUUCAGUAUAUCUUUUCUGUGUUUUUCUAUAUUGGUAAAUACCAUCCUUAUCAGGUAUUGGGAUACUAUAAGGAUAAUCUUGUUCUUCAUCACUAUUGAAUUUUACUUUUAUAUUCUGACUUGAAGAUGGAUUAGUAUUCAUCUUUGUAUUUUUCAUUUUUCAGUUAAUUCUUCUAACUAUUUUUUAUAUUCUUCAUACUCUUCACAUGUAGAUUUUAAGAAUUUUUGUUCUAUUUCUUCUACAUCUGUAAUCAUAUAUUGUUUUUCUUCAUAUUUUUUCCCUUUAUUAUUUUCCUUUUGUGUUAUCCUAAAAUCUUGAGGUGGAUUAAUUAUAAUCCUAUCUUUUCCUUUAAGAUUUUUAUCUAAAAGAGCGUUACUUACUUGUAGAUUAUAUUCUAGAUUUCUAAUCUUUUGUGUAUAUCCUUAAAACUUUCAUUUGUGGUGUUUUUAUGUAAAUAUGGAUAACUAGGUUUUUUAUAUUUUUCAAUCUUUUUCAAAAACUCUUCAAUUAUAUUUUCUUCAUCUACUAUAUUCAUCAUAAUUUUUGGUUCGUAACAUGACUCUGAUACCAUUUCAUCGGAGUGUGCAUCGAAAGGGUUAAGAUUUUUGAGCCAAUUAAAAUCUUCAUAAGUUUUUAAAAUAUUACAAUAGAAUUUAUAAAACUCACUAUUUUUUAUUAAUACUUUUUCUUCAAUAAUUAUAUUUAGUUCUUUAAUUCUUCUUCUCAGGUUAAGAAUUUGUUUAUAUAUAUCAUUUUCUGUUUUGAUUGUACUAUUAUCUAUAGAAACAUUUUUAUUUUUUAAUUUUGGAUCUAAAUAUUUUAUAAAGAAACAUUUUAGAUCUUCUUCUAAAUAUUUUAAUUCAUUUUCUGUUGUGUUUUUUAGAUCAAUAAAAUUUUGUAUAAUAUUUGAGUUUAAAUUUAUUAAAGAUUUUUUGAUCUAUAUUUCUUUGAGAACCUAAUUGAAGGUUUUUAUACAUUGUAGUGAUUUUGGUUGCAAUUUCACAAUAAGGGGUAUUUUUGGAAAAGUUGUUGUUCAAAGGCUAUUCUUCAAAUAUUUAUAUUUUUUGGUCUAAUCUUACAAAACUCCCUUUUAUUUAGGCUAUCUAGAGGUAUUUCCUCCUCUCUCCCCCUCUCCCUCUCUCGGGGUGUGUGUAGAUAUAUUUAAUAAAAAAAACAAAAGGAAUAAAUGAUUGAACUGUUUUAGAGUUUAUUUGGUACAAUUAAAAAGUCAAUUAAAAUCAAUUUUUUGACCAUUAUUUUACUAUUACAGUCAUUAAUUUUUGAAUUUUUUUCUCACAGGUAGAACCCAUUCUAUCUCUAAUAAUCUAAAAAUCAAUUAUCAAAAUUUCUACAAAAUAAGCACUUAUUAAAGUGGUGCAACUUUCAAGCCAUCUUAUUCGGUCCAUAUUUGAUAGGCAUCCUUUAAUUUUUUAUUUUUUUUCCAGAUUUAUUUUUAAUAAUGUAUUUUUCUAAUAAAAUAAUUUUAUACAUGGAUCAAUAAUAUUUUUCUAAUUCUUAACCACACAUUGUAAAAAAAAAUUAUUAGUCAUAAAAUCUAUAUCAAAUAAACUCUUAAAGCCUGUUUGGGAGUGAUUUUGAGAAUUAAUUUUUUGACCGUUAGGAGAAAAGUGGAGUCCAUCUGUGAGAGAAGAAGUCAAAUAUGACGGUUGAAAUAGUGAAAUAACGGUCAAAAAAUCAAUUUUUUGGAUGAAAAAAUCGCUCCCAAACAGGCCCUUAGUCAUGUACACCAAAUAGUUCAUAAAUGAAUUAUGUUCCCUUUAUUUUCUUAAUUUUAUAAUUCUCAACAAUUAAAUUAUUUCAAAAGUUGUUUAAUUACCACUUUCUAUUAUUACUUAGGGAAAAAUUUAUAUAUUGGUAUUAAGUUUGCACCAGUUCAAUUUCUAGAGAUUAAGUUUAAAAUCACAAAAAUCUAAUGUUAAUUCAAUAUUUUAAUUUUACAUAAUAAUAUUAUUAAAUUAAAUUAAUUUACCCACUCCACCAAACCCCAUUCCCACUUCAACCUCGCUACAUGCACGGAAAAUUCAUGAAAAUAGCCUAUAAAAAAAGGCCGUUUUUUCAAGAUGACCUUUGGUCAAUUUACAUACCUAAAAUACCCUUUAUUUAGAUAUUACAUAACAAGUCACUAUAAUAUAGAAAUUUUCUAAUUUAGUCCUUAAAAUUAAAUAUCACUUGGAUUUUGAUUUUUUUAUUUUGAUUUAUUUAUUUAUUAGAUUUAUUUGAUUUUUGUUCGCUCUAAGUAACCCCCUAAUUGGUAUCAGAGUCAUAGAGAUCAUGAAGAAACUCAUAAAAAAUAGAUUACCUGAAAAAAUAAAAAUCUUUAGAUUUAGGUUAACACUUAGAUUUUAUAUAAAUUUAAUAAAUAAUAGAUUAAUUAUUAUAAAGUUAAAGAAAUAUUUAGAUUAUACAUCUUUAAAAUAAUAAUUAAUUAUAAUAUACAAAUAUUUAUAUUUACAUCUUGAUAAAAGCAUAGAGAUCAUGGAAAUUAAAAUAAGAAAAAUAGAUAAUUAUUGUAAAUUAGAAGAAGGAAGAGGAAGUUAUAUAUUUUUAAUUAGGAUAAAACAUAUUCAUAAUAAAUUAAAAAUAAUGACAUUAACAAUAGUUAAAUAUUUACCUAAAGAAAUAAAAGAACGAAUAUUAGAAAAAUUAAUAAUAGGAUUGAUAAAAGAAAUAUAUGUGUGUGAACUAAUUAUUAAAGAAUAUGAUGAUGAAGACUUACUUUAUAUUACAAAGAGAAGUAUGAGUACAAAUGAUAUACAAAUUUAAAAUUAAAUAAAUUACUUAUAAAAAUGGAAAAAAUAUAAGAAAAAAUAUGAGAUAUAAUGUUAAUACCAGAAGGAAUAAGAGUAUCAAAUAAAAGACAAUUAAUAAAACUAAAAUGUGAAAGAUUAAGACUUGAAAGUAAAUAUUUCGGUUUAGUAAAAGAAGAAUUAAUAAAACUAGAUAUAGUCAACAGAAGAUUUGGAAAAAUAAUUGAUAAAAAAGAAGAUAAAAGAUGUAAAUUAACUUAUAUGUUAUAAAGAUAAUUUUAAUAUGUCAAUAAGUGAAUAUAUGGAAGACUUAAAAUCAUUAAUAAAAAUGUUAAUAAAUGAUAUACAAGAUUUAAGAAAUGAAGUAAGAAAAACAAGAAAUGAUAUAAAUAUAUUAAAAAUUGAAAUUAGAGAAUUAAAAGAAAAUAAUAAAAAUAAAGAAAAGAAAAUAGAUAAAAAAUUAAUAGAAAAAUAAAUGACUCGAAUAGGAAAGAAAUAUAUUGAAAAAGAGAGUGUAAUAAUAGAAAUAAGAAGUAUGAAUGAUGAAUUUAAAAAAAAUAUAUAUUACCAAAAAUAUUAAAAUAAGAAGAAUUUAGAGAAAAAAUAUUAGAAAAAUUAAAAGUAGAAGAUAAAGAUGAAUGAGGAAUUAGACUUAUAGAAAAUUUUGAUCAAUUCAGUUUAAGUGAUAUAAGUGAAUACAAAGUUUUAAUGAAUACCAGAGGAGAACCUAAUCCAAUAGGAACUUCUAAAAUAGAAUUACAAGAUUUAGAUGAAAGUUAUGCAACUAUAUAUAAUAAACCAUAUAGACAAUUUUAUGAUAGAGUAAGAGAUAGACAACCACCUAAAGAAAAUAAAUAUAGAGAUAGAUUUGAAUUAAAUGAUAAUUAUGAUAAACUUAUUAACCAUGGAGGAACAAAAUUAUAUUUAAAUUGUAAAAUAAAUACUAAAAAAGUCUUAUUAACUUGGGUAGAUACAAUGAUAUUAUUCUUUUUAUAUAAUAAAGAUGACACAUGGAAAAAUAUUGAAAGAAAAAUAGAUUUCCUAAUAGUAUCCUUUGAAUGAGAUGUUAGAAAUUGGUGGGAAGGAAUAAAUAAUGAUACAAAAAUAUUAAUAAAAAGAAAUGUACAAACAAAAAUAAUAAAAUCAGACAAAUAAGGUAUAGAAAAGUUAGUAGAAUAUAUUUCAGAUGAAUUUUUAGGAGAAAAUUGGAUAAGAAACGUUGAAAGAGAAGAAAUAAGAGAAAAAGACAAUACUAGAAUUAAACUAAUAAAUUUAACAAUAUGUGAUAUGUGUAAAAUUAAAAAAAUAUACUUGUGAAUUUAGAAAUUAUUAUUAUGUUCAAUUUUAUAGUAAUGAGAACUAAGAAGUAUACCAAAAUAUAUAUUAUAAUAAUUUAUCAUGUUCAUGGAGAAUAUAUUUUAAAAUGAAAUUUGAAAAAUUUGUUAGAGAUAAUGUUGAAAUACCUAGGACUUUAGGUUCAAGAAUAAAAUUUUUAUUUGAAAGACUUGCACAUAUAUGUCAACAAAAACAAUUAAUGAAAAAAAUCAGCAAAACUAACUAGAAUAUACUGUGAAGAUAUGAAAAAUUCUAUACAGUGGGAAUGUAAUACUGAAAGAAGGGUUAAUAAAAGAAAAUAUAAAAAUAAAAAAUUUAAAAAAUUUAGAAAUUUUAAUAAAAAAUAUAUAAAACCUAAAAGAAGAUAUUAUAAAAGAAAAAAUAUCUCAUAUUGUCAACAGAAAAAAUAAAAGUUAUAAAAAAAAAGUCAAUGUAAAUAUUGGAAUUAUGGAGAAAUAUGUCAUAUAAGCCCUGAUUGUAAUAAAAAGAAAGUUAAAAUAUUACAAAAAAGAAUAUUUGUAAAUAAAAGAUGAAUUGAGUGAAAUAUCAGACAUUGAAGAAUAUUAUAAUCAAAAAGUUUAUAUAAGUGAAACAGAGGAUGAUGAAUCAGAAUCUGAAUAAGGAAAUAGAAAGUAAUAAUAUAAAUAUACAAAAAUAUGAAGGAAUAGAAGGAUAUGAAUUAAAAAUUACAUUUGAUAAGAAUAAAUUUAGAAAAUUAAAAGAUUUAUUUUUAGAUUUAAAAAUAGGAAAAUAGGAAGUUUUAGAUAGAAUUUAGAAAAGAGAAAUGAUAGCAACAAAUGAAUAUCACAAAAUAGAAAAAAAAAAUCAUAGAUGUAAGAACAACAUAUGGACAACAUAAAUUAAAUCUUUUAACAAAAAAUAUGGUUGAAGAACUAUUAACAAAUGUUAGUAAAAAACAAAGUGAAAAAAUCCAAUAUGUUUAUUUAGCAGGAAUACAAAUAAUGUUUAAAUCAUUAUUCAGAGAAGAUAUAGAUUCACCCUUAACUAUAACCUUACAUGAUGGAAGAAUAAUAAAUUUAAAAGAUAACCAUUUAGGAACAGUAGAAAGAAAUUUGGCAUAUCAAAAAAUAAUGUUUACAUUUUACCCAAAAUAUUGUGUAACAUUGAAAGAUAGAAACUUUAAUGAAAUUUUAGGAUUGCAUUUUAAAUUACAUAGAAAUGAUAUCAUGAAAUCAAGUGAUCAAAUUAUGACUAUAGAGUAUAAAACUUUAUACACAUUUACCAAUUCUAAUUAUGGAAACAUUUAUUCUAAUACACCUUAUAUUGAAAUACAUAAAGAAUGUAAGGAUAUUAGAAAAAUAAUAGAACCAAAUAAACUAAUAUGUUUAAUUGCAGAAGAAUAUGAAUUUUGUAUAAUAAGAAAUAAACCUGAAAUAACAUAAUUAAAUGAAUAAGAAUGUUCUAAUAAUAUAACAUUUAAGAAUGAAAAAUUAAUCAAAAGAUCAAAAAGUCUUAGAAUACCUAAUAAAAACCAGUUAGUAGAAUUUAAUAAUAUAAAAGAAAUAAAAUUAUAUAAGAAUGCUGAAAAUAUGAAAAUAGAAGAAGAAUAUUAUAAUGGGAGAGAAUAUAAAUAGACCAAAUAUAUUAAUAGAUACAGAAGCUAGUGAAUGUCAUAUAACUUCAAUUAGAAAUAAAUGAUUAAUAACUUAUAAAACUGAUCCAUAUAGAUGUGUAAAUUUUGAUGGACAAGUACAUAUUACAGAUUUGGAAGUUAAGGUGCUAAUAAAAAUAGGAGGAAUAGAUCUUUUAGUAUCGUGUUAUAUAGAUAAAAAUGUGGAUAUGAACCCCCAUAUACUUUUAGAAAUGAGUUUUUUAAAUGAUUAGAAGAUUAUAGUAUAAAAAAAGAAGGAUUAUAUAUAGUUCAUAAAUUGAUAUGUUGCAUGUACAAUUUCACUAUCAUCAACGCCACCCCAAGUCGACCACCACUUCAAAUCCACAAUCACCAUCACAUCCUUCAAAAUCCACCACCACCACCACCGUUUGCACCUUCAACACAUUACAAAUUCAUAGCCAAUAAAAUCGUCGACACAUAAAGAAAAGGCUGGCACAAAAAUAAAAGAAUAGAAGCACAUAAUCAAAAGCAAAUUUUGGUAUGAUUGAUGGAAAAGUGGUGACGCCAUGGGUGUAGGUUUGCUUGCCCCAUCGACAAUGCCUGAAUUCAAAAUUUUUGAGAUUCACAAUUCACGAAUUCGAAUCUUUUCUUGUAGAUUUUGUGCCCCACAUGGUGUUAUGAAACCAAUCGAAGAUGGAAUCGUGUUUGGGAGGUGAUUUCACCUGUUGUAGGUAGUGGGAAGUGGCGGCGGCGAUGAUUGUCGACAUUCAUGGUAUUGUUCUCAGAAUCUCUCCCUUGUACACCAAGCAAAAUCCAUUUUGAAGAAACAAGUACGUGUACAGGGGGUUCUGUUAUUCCCUCCGAAUACUCACAUGAGUGAGCCUUAUAAGAGUAAAAUAUUACAAAAAAUUAUAAUAAUAAAAAAAUCCCUCCCCCCCCCCCCCCUUGAUAAUGGGUAUGGAUGGGUGAAACUAGUGGGGAAAUGAUAAUUAUCUUUAUUUAGUUUCUGUUGAUAUAAAUAAAUUUAUUAAUAUAUUUAAUAAUAUUAAAACGUGAAUAACACCAGUUUUAUGAAAUAGACAAGUCCCUCUUUGAUGGUCAAUAUUUGAAAAAAAAAAAUUUGAAUAAUGAAUUUUUUAAGAAUGCCUUGUUAAAAAAUUGAGAAAAAGUAUUUGAUUUAUGUACAAAAUAUUUUAUUGUGUGAAUCCGUGGUUAACCAUGAGUAUGUAAAAAAGAGUUUUAAAUUAAAGGCCAUCAAACAUGGACUAUUUAAGAUCAGAUUUUUGAAAAAUAUAGUUAAAAUGUAGAAAUUUUCUUUAAUUUUCCCAACUGGUAAACCAUAUUUUUGAUUGGCUAUAAUACGGGCAAGCUGAAAGAUGUGCGCCUAUUUACAUUUUUUUUUAAAAAAAUUUAAAUUUUAAGUUAAAUAAACUAAUUAAGUAAUAAAGAAUUGUUAUUAAUAAUCAUAAAAUAAUUCAAAUAAUAUUAAAGCCAUAUUUGGUUGAUUAAAAUAAGAUUUUUGAUAAAAAUUGAUAAAAUAUAUGAUUGAAAAUUGUAAAUCCCAUAAAAUAUGUGAUUAUUAUACUUUCGCCCAUCUCUGGACUUCCCAAUGUUUAGUAGUUGGCAUGAUCAUUUUAUCAAGCCUUAUUACUUUUCAGUUUAGCUUGGUGUAUGUAAUAGUUGACAAUUUAUUUAUUUUUUACUUUUAAAAUUGUGUGAUGUAACACAGUUUCGCCAUCGAUUUUAAGACUUCAAACGAUCAAUGAUCUUUAUUUUUACACUUCACUCAAUAUCAAUCAUAAUGUACACAAAGAAUAUAAAACUGUGUCUAAUUAAGCCCUUGUUUGACAUUCUCAAAAUUUUAAAAAUAAUGUCUUGAAUAGUAUCUUUAAAGAAUGUGUGGUUAAAAAGUAUGAAAAAAUUUUAAAUUACGCGUAGAAAAUUUUAUGUGCGGAUAUACUGUUGAAAAUGAGUAUAAAAAAAAAUACAUAAAGGACAAUAAUGUCAAAUUGGGUUUAAAAUGAUGAUCAUUCUAAAGGUCAAAUUAAACUUGUUUAGGUGAGUAAAACAUAAUCAGCAGGGAAGGAUAUAUAAAUUUACUAUUUGUACACCGAGCUUUGACAUCUCGGUGUACAACCCCUCACAAUAGAGAGCCGUGCCCAAUAAAAAAAUCACAAGCCCCCUGUUGUGAGGGAGGUUGUACACCAUGUUGUCGAACUUAAUGUACUUAUAGCAAAAUCCUACGUGGACAAGAGGCAAAUGAAUUGUGAAUUAAAUUAAGUUGAUCGAAAAUUGUUGACAGAAGUCUUGACAUUAUCUCAUAUGUAUGUGGAAUUCGUGUGAAUAAAAAAUUUCAAAAAAAAUUGACUCCACCUCUUAUUGUGAGUGUUCAGGUAGGAAGGCUAUCAAUCCCUUGUAGCCAUUGUAGCAAAGUUGAACCGAAAUGUAGAAUCGUGAGACAUAGAGAUAGCUCCAAUUGCUUAGAAGUACACGUGUCUGGAAAAAAUACUUCUUGAGUUAAAAGCGUUAAUUAUGAAUUCAAGUGCAAGAAGUUCGUACAAAUAAGAUACGUAUAAAUGACUUCAGGUUAACCCCUUCCAGAAUCACCAGCACUACAUGACUUGUAUUUCUAUCCAUUAAAAAAAAUUAAAAAAUCAUUAAGGAACCAAACUAACCAGUCAAACACGAUACAGUAGUUUCACAAACGCGCCGCCCUAAAACUGGAGGCCAAUUGGCCACUCACCGCCAAACCGACACGGUUUCUACUAGUCGAUUCCCCCUGAUUUCUCAGCUCAUUGUUUUUCUAAAACUAUAUAUAUCUACAAUCAAAACUUAUCCACUUUCAGUAUAGAAUCUACUAUCAGCCAUAUCUCAGACAUAUUAACACGAAUAUAUAUAUAUAUAUAUAUAUAUACACACACACACGAGAGAGAUUUCAAUAAUUGGUAGUGGUGCUGCUGUUGUUGUUGUAUAUUUUCAAUUAUCAAUUUGAACUGACGGUUAAGAAAGGAGAAACAGUAGUACCUUCUCUGACGACAUCGUAUAGCUCACCGGAAAAUGGAGUAGAAAAUCCCCAAUCUUCUCCGAAGUCAGCUUUCCAGCGAUUGCGCCAGAAAUUAUCGCCGAGGAAGUCCGCAUCCGUGGAUCUGAAACCAUCAAUUUCAAGUUCCGAUGAUAAAAACGGUGAGGCUCCGGCGGUGGAUAAAUGGAGCGAAAAUGAGAUGGUGUUUAGGUACUUCGACGAAAACGGCGAUGGUAAAAUCUCAAAAGAAGAGCUACGGCGGUGCGUGAGGGCUUUAGGUGGCGAAAUGUCGGAGGACGAGGCGGAGAUGGUGGUGCAGUUUUCAGACUCAGACAGCGAUGGAA